UGCACUUUGGUCUGUUAUCAAGGGUUACUUGUUUGUUUCUAUGUAAAUAUUCAUAUAGAGAAAUUGGUAACUCAACCUAAUCCAGAAUAGCAAAACAGAAAGAAGAACUUACAAGUAAAUAUAUUUUUCUAAAAUCUUCAUAACAUGCUUAAGUUUCUCAUAAUGCAAUUUCCAUAACAUGCAUGUUACCAUUUGCCAAUCAUAACUCAGAUAGGGUUAAUAACUUACAUGAAGGUGAACCUUUUCUUUUGACUGAGAUCCAACAGAACUUCAGACUACAGUGGGUACACACACUUCUUCCUGCGAAGACUGACCUUCGCAGUCUUACUGACCUUCUCCAUUGGCACUGCUGCUGGAUCCCCUCCUACUGACAGUGGUGUUCUUCAAUAUCUGCAAGAAAACAAACCAUAUUUAGAGCUUGUUCAGGAAAGAAAGCUGACACCCAGGCAAAAUCAACCUACAACUACGUUGUCAGCCAUAAGACAGAAAGCAUCAAGAAGUGUGACAAUAUAUACAUAUAAAUUAGAGAGAGAGAGAGAGAGAGAGCAGUCGGAUUCAAUCAAGUUAGAGCACAUGAUGCUACUGGUAACAAAUAAAUUACUCCAGAACGGAUGCUUUGGGCAGAAUGUGCAUGCCAAACACAGCUAACAAAGACCAUAAUGCAACAAAAGCAGUGCAAGUUUCCAUCAAAGAAACAGACACUACUGUGCAAGUCACAUGAUAUGAUACAGAACUAGAUGACAAGGAAGCAUCCCACCAAAGUUUGAGGCAUUUCUUUAAUGAAAGAUCUAAUUUCCUUGACUAGAAGAAAGAAAACAGCUCGAUUACUUAGAGAUCCAACUCUCCACCACCCACCCAGAGUAGUACCCCUUCAAAGCCUCAGCAAGACGAGGAUGGCAGCGAUCGCUGCAGAGUUUUUCUGAGAAGCAAAUGACUCCAGUAAUAUGCGAUGCCACCAUGUUGGAAAACGGAUAAAGAAGAAAAUGAUGUCACGGCUUACUGUGGUCGACAAAGGGACACGUCUGGGGGCAGGACUAAGACCAGAACCUAGAACGGCAGCUGCAGUUAAUUACCCAAAAUACCCCUCAUUAGAUGGUACUCUCGUAUCAGCCUAUCCUGAGACUCUGAUAUUUCUUUUUAAAGUGGAUAAUUUAUACAGAUGUAAUAGGAUAUAUUCGAUAGAGUUAGAAAAUGAUCUCUCUCUCUCUCUNN
rnacentral:lncRNA from 1 species